rnacentral:lncRNA from 1 species
UUUCCCCACACCUGACUAUACCUCCACCAAACACAUUCCUUCUCUCCUUAUCUUUUUAUAAAACACAACAUUUAUAGAGUUUAUUUUAUUGCCAAGGCAUGGUUUUCUUUUGGGAUUAGUUUUGAGAAAUUAGAUCUAUUUUAUUUUAUUUUAUUUUAUUUUAUUUUACUUUUCCAUGUAUUUAUUUUUUGGUGCUCAAUAUGUUGUGCUGGCUGGCUUGGAGCUGGCUACAUAGACUAGGUCUUUAAUCCCAGCACUCUAGAGGCAGAGUCAGGAGGAUCUCUGUGACUUGGAGGCCAGCCUGGUCCAUAUAAAAAGUUCCGGGACAGCCAGAGCUACAUAGUGCGAUCCUGUUUUAAAACAAGACAAGACAACUUCCUGCAGCUUCAAAUGACUCUGUCUCCUAGCAUUAAUGGUGAUUAUUUCUUUAGUACAUUUUAUAACUUUUGCUUUUACUAAAGGCUGACUAAACAAAGACCCCCUGAAGAUAAAUAAGCGCACUUGACUAUAAAGAGGCUGAAGGAAAAUCUUGGAAUGUAGACUGCCAAGGGUGAUGUUCAAAACACAUCCCCCACCUCCAUCCACAGAGACUGGGCCAAGGUUCUUUCUCAGGAGAGAGGAAGGGAAACUGUAAAUAAUCUCUCUUAGCUGUGAGGCAGGACUUCUUUGCAUACAGUCAAUACAUCACUAUUCAAGAGGGACAAAGAACCCAUGUCACGUGAUUCAAUUAUCUUACCAACUACCAUCUGAUAUUGAGGUUCUCACACACCCACAGGGAUCUGGGUUCCAGGUCCCCACAGAAUUGAGCAGAGGCACACAGAUGCAUUAGAAGUGGGCCUGAAUUAUUGAGAAAAUAAUCUUGGCCCUAGAGCACUUACCUAGCUCGUGUGUGGCCCUAGUAUGGGAAUUUAGUCGCCAGUAUGGGAGUUCGGGGUGGGGGUGGGGGGUGGGGGGACACAAACAAACCAAAAGUAAAAUGAAAGAGUGGAUAUGCAUUUCUCAUUCUAGGGGAAUGGCCAAGAGCCACCCCAGGUAGGGUUACAAGGUAAGAAAUGAAGAAGUACACAAGAUUCACAAAAAGCCAAUGUGUGAAAGCUGAGUUUUUCUGACUUUCUGUAGCAAGCUGGACGCUCAUACAAGAAAGCCCUAUGUGAUUAAAUGUGAACUCAACUUCUG